UACGAGGGGGGCAAGCUUGUUCGGAAUUAUUGGGCGUAAAGGGCGCGUAGGCGGUGCGGUAAGUCACCUGUGAAAACUCUGGGCUCAACUCAGAGCCUGCAGGCGAUACUGGCGUGCUUGAGGACUGGAGAGGAGACUGGAAUUCAUGGUGUAGCAGUGAAAGUGCGUAGAGAUCAUGAGGAAGACCAGUGGCGAAGGCGGGUCUCUGGACAGUUCCUGACACUGAGACACGAAGGCCAGGGGAGCAAACGGG
rnacentral:rRNA from 1 species